AACAAAUUUUAGUCAGGUCUUCUAAAUCUGUUCUGGGGCUACCCGUUUGUUUU
rnacentral:tRNA from 1 species